AACCGCCGUAUACGGAACCGUACGUACGGUGGUGUGGGAGGACGGUAAAUAAAAUAAUUAUUUACCUCCUACCCGAU
rnacentral:ncRNA from 2 species